GGUCUGUGGGAGCCACCCCUACAGCAGACUUUGUACUCCUUCAGUUUUUUUAAUAUACUUCUAUCUAUUUUCAAAAUAAAAUAAAAAACUUCUCUCCUCCUCUCUUCUUAGCACCGGAGCUCUACGCCGCCACAUACACCGCCGCACGCGUCCUUCCUGCGUCUGAAAAUUAUGUCGGAGCCUUCGCAAGUGUGGUGUCACUACCUCAAGCUGUGAUGCAGAUAGAUGGUUUUGAAUACUUCAAAGGAAAACUGCCCUACUGUCUUGAAUGAAUUCUUGGAGUAUGUGGCUAAGAUUAGUGCACAAUCUGUCAUCCAACGGCGGCAUGGAAAUGAAUCCUAAAAAUCCUGUUUUUUGGAGAGCAAUUGAAUCAUCAAAACUUUCUGAAACUUUCAUAUUAAUGUAUUGUGAAUUAGAAACUUUUAGAAAGAAUUGUGAUAGGUUCUAUUUAAAUAUAUUUCCAAUCGUAUGAUCCUCUUUUGUAUACUGAAACCGCGACAGGUUUUAUUGCAAAUGUAUUUGCAAUCCUGUGAUCCUCUUUUUGUACAAUAUAUCACGACAGCUUUCAUUUCAAAUGUAUUUCCAAUCUUGUGAUCUU